rnacentral:tRNA from 1 species
GGAUUGUGGCUCAGUGGUAGAGCGCUCGCCUCAUAUGAGCGGGACCCGGGUUUGAUCCUCAGCACCA